AACGCGUAUAGAAUCUGCCCUGUACUGGGGAAUAGCCCAGAGAAAUUUGGAUUAAUGCCCCAUGGUAUGUAUUAGCGGCAUCGCUUAUACAUUAAAGGCUACGGUACAGGAUGACUAUGCGUCCCAUUAGUUAGUUGGUAAGGUAACGGCUUACCAAGGCAGCGAUGGGUAGGGGCCCUGAGAGGGGGAUCCCCCACACUGGUACUGAGACACGGACCAGACUCCUACGGGAGGCAGCAGUGAGGAAUAUUGGACAAUGGGCGGGAGCCUGAUCCAGCCAUGCCGCGUGCAGGAAGACGGUCCUAUGGAUUGUAAACUGCUUUUGUACGGGAAGAACAAGGGGCACGUGUGCCCCUCUGACGGUACCGUAAGAAUAAGGAUCGGCUAACUCCGUGCCAGCAGCCGCGGUAAUACGGAGGAUCCGAGCGUUAUCCGGAAUCAUUGGGUUUAAAGGGUCCGUAGGCGGGCCAUUAAGUCAGGGGUGAAAGUCUGCGGCUCAACCGUAGAAUUGCCCUUGAUACUGGUGGUCUUGAGUUAUGGUGAAGUAACUAGAAUAUGUAGUGUAGCGGUGAAAUGCAUAGAUAUUACAUAGAAUACCGAUUGCGAAGGCAGGUUACUAACCAUAUACUGACGCUGAUGGACGAAAGCGUGGGGAGCGAACAGGAUUAGAUACCCUGGUAGUCCACGCCGUAAACGAUGGAUACUAGCUGUCCGGAUGCAAAUCUGGGCGGCCAAGCGAAAGUGAUAAGUAUCCCACCUGGGGAGUACGUCCGCAAGGAUGAAA
rnacentral:rRNA from 1 species